GUUCCCACUUUCUAAGCGCUGGUUUUAAUUUUUGAAGUCCGCUCAAAUUUCAUUUAUUUCUUCUCUCACUAAAAUCAGAUUCAAAGACUCGGUUGCGGCUAACUAGGUUACCACAAUUCUCAAUUUUCCCCAAAACUUCAUCACAUAUGGAUUCGAGUAUGAGAGUAUCUCCAUCUUUCUCCGCUUCUUCGUCAGUUUUUGCAAGCACAUGAAGCCUUGAUUUCUCAUAUUUGCUUCUAAGACUCAAACAGCAUUCAGGAGGCAACGUUCCAUUGAUGAAUCGAGUAAUGUCAUUUGCUGGUUUUGAUCACCAGGGUUCUUCUAGAAGGUUUGUAUAUCUGUGGUUAUAAGUAAAUAUAUAUAGGUGUACGUUGUGUAGAAGCAUGUCGUAAUGAAGUUCUACCCUACUUGCUGUAUUUUCAUAUGACUUGAUUCAAGGAUGAGAAUAUGUAUAAAACUACAAAGAGUAUAUCUUUUAUUUCCCACUUAAUCCACCUAUUUUGAUAGAUUAUAUUUUUUUUAUCUUUGAUCUCUCUUACUUCUAUAUUUUCAAGUUUGUUUCCCUCCUGAAUAGAGUCAAUAGACACAGAACUUGCAGCUAGUCUUGCUCGAUCGGUUAAUAUGAGUCUUGCUCUUGCACUGGUAAUGCUAGAACAUUGGAGAUGAGUUCAGUACCAGCUGGAGGCGUUGAAUUGGUUUAAAAGUUUCAAACUUUCAUCGCCUGGCAGUGUAUAUGAUUGGAACAAGUAAACUAGGUAUUUAGAAUGCUUGGCUGACUCUUUUUGAACAUGAGGUGCUUUCUUAUUUUGAUAUCAUACAUGUACAUGAUACGCCAUCUAGGACUGGGAGUGUUCAUUAGCUUGACCUGUGUGUUCUGGUUCAGAUUAGUUUGCAGGCUUUUGUAGGUUGAUGAAGACGUGAAGUAGCAUCAGCUAGGCUUUAAUGCUUUGUUACUAUUUUGUGCUCAGUAAAGUAGUAACAUCACACCCUAAGAAGCAUCAGACUGGAAUUGACACUAAAUUUAUGGAAGUGCUGACAUUCAGAGAACACCACAUGACAUUUUUUCAGAAGUCAGAUCUGUUUUUCAUCUGUCUGCAACAACCUCUGUCCUUUAACAUCCAAGUUCAAGAAACAGAACUGGAAGCAGCUUAGGUAAUUUCAUUAACAUUCAAUUCACUAUUAGAUUAUGGGUAUUUAACGACAAUAUAUUAACGACAAACUUUCUCUCUUCGGUUAUAUCUUAGUUCUGAUAAAGAGCACAAGAACAUUGCAAGCAAAGACAACAUGUUAAUGGUCACUUUUGUUUUUCUGGUUUUAGAUGAUAUGGCUGCUUAUUCCUCAUCAUACUAAUAUUGAACCUUGUUUGUUGGUGCGAAAUGUAAGUGGUUGCGGUGCUGAAAGAUUGUGAGGGGGCUGGGGUACUAGAGCCUCGCAUAUAUAUGUUUGUGCAUGCAAGUAUUCUAGGUCUCCAUCACCUAUGAAAAAAAUAUCUACGUCUCACUCUAGGUCCAUAUCUAUGUCUCCUCCUAGAUACCGGUCCCAUUCUCGUCCCAGGUCAAGGUUUGCGAGCCGUGGAAGGUUGGCUUGAAGCUUAAAAGGCACAUUUGUUGUUCGCUUUCUGCUUGACUGCUAACUCUUUAUUCUAUAGCAGGAUUGAGAUCCUCUAGAGUCACUCAUAGAGAACUUGAGGAUUUCUUUUCCAAGUAGGGAAAGGUGAGUACUGGAUGUAUCCUGAUCAAAUAUGCUGUUGUCAAGACAUGAAUGGACUUAAUGUUACUAUUCCAACUUCACAAGCUGGAUCAGAAAUGCAAAAAUAGGUCGAAGCUGCUACACAUCAAUUCUAGAUAUUUGGUGCAAAUUUUCUUAAUUUUUUUUAAGAACAAGGAAUCAUUGAGAUUUAAUUCUUAGUAUGGACCAAGUUAUAUAUUUGACCUUAUUAGUUUGGUUGUUUUGUUCACAUUGAAUUUGUUUAUUAUAAAUCUUUUGUGAUU